GAUGAACGCUGGCGGCGUGCCUAAUACAUGCAAGUCGAGCGAACGGACGAGAAGCUUGCUUCUCUGAUGUUAGCGGCGGACGGGUGAGUAACACGUGGAUAACCUACCUAUAAGACUGGGAUAACUUCGGGAAACCGGAGCUAAUACCGGAUAAUAUUUUGAACCGCAUGGUUCAAAAGUAAAAGACGGUCUUGCUGUCACUUAUAGAUGGAUCCGCGCUGCAUUAGCUAGUUGGUAAGGUAACGGCUUACCAAGGCAACGAUGCAUAGCCGACCUGAGAGGGUGAUCGGCCACACUGGAACUGAGACACGGUCCAGACUCCUACGGGAGGCAGCAGUAGGGAAUCUUCCGCAAUGGGCGAAAGCCUGACGGAGCAACGCCGCGUGAGUGAUGAAGGUCUUCGGAUCGUAAAACUCUGUUAUUAGGGAAGAACAUAUGUGUAAGUAACUGUGCACAUCUUGACGGUACCUAGUCAGAAAGCCACGGCUAACUACGUG
rnacentral:rRNA from 1 species